GGGCUGGAGAGAUGACUCAGUGGUUUGAAGCACUUGGUGCUCUUGUAAAGGACCUGGGCUUGAUUCCCAGUGUUCACAUGGUUCACAAUCACCCAUAACUCCAGUUCCAAGUACUCUCUUCUGACCUCCACAGGGACCAAGAACAUACAUGGCACCAACAUCCAUGCAGGCAGAAUAUUCACACACAUAAAAUAAAAUGUCUCUUGAAGUAACAUGUCAUCCAGAGUCCACUCCCCAUUGGAUGAGUCAUUCACUGGUCUUCCAACAAAACAGAUGGUGAGCAGUGGAGAAGUCAGGGAAAGUGAAGAAAAUGAAAGAGGGAGGUCAAUUCAGCAAGAGCCUGCCUAUCCAUGUCAAGAAACAAAUAGAAGUCAUCACCAACCACAGAAAGGGAAGAGCUACUCCUGGAUGAAUUGUUGUUCUGAGACGUCUCCAAGAUCCCCCAGAUCAUUGCCACUACUGGCGCCUGCAUAACAGUCCUG
rnacentral:lncRNA from 1 species